CCCAGACUCCUACGGGAGGCAGCAGUGGGGAAUAUUGCACAAUGGGGGAAACCCUGAUGCAGCAACGCCGCGUGAGUGAAGAAGUAUUUCGGUAUGUAAAGCUCUCUCAGCAGGGAAGAAGAUGACGGUACCUGAGUAAGAGGCCCCGGCUAACUACGUGCCAGCAGCCGCGGUAAUACGUAGGGGGCAAGCGUUAUCCGGAUUUACUGGGUGUAAAGGGAGCGUAGACGGCAUGGCAAGUCUGAAGUGAAAGCCCGGGGCUCAACCGCGGGACUGCUUUGGAAACUGUUAAGCUGGAGUGCAGGAGAGGUAAGUGGAAUUCCUAGUGUAGCGGUGAAAUGCGUAGAUAUUAGGAGGAACACCAGUGGCGAAGGCGGCUUACUGGACUGUAACUGACGUUGAGGCUCGAAAGCGUGGGGAGCAAACAGGAUUAGAUACCCCAGUA
rnacentral:rRNA from 1 species